rnacentral:rRNA from 1 species
GGUGCGAGCGUUGUCCGGAAUUACUGGGCGUAAAGAGCUCGUAGGUGGUUUGUCGCGUUGUUCGUGAAAUCUCACGGCUUAACUGUGAGCGUGCGGGCGAUACGGGCAGACUUGAGUACUGCAGGGGAGACUGGAAUUCCUGGUGUAGCGGUGGAAUGCGCAGAUAUCAGGAGGAACACCGGUGGCGAAGGCGGGUCUCUGGGCAGUAACUGACGCUGAGGAGCGAAAGCGUGGGGAGCGAACAGGAUUAGAUACCCUGGUAGUCCACGCCGUAAACGGUGGGUACUAGGUGUGGGUUUCCUUCCUUGGGAUCCGUGCCGUAGCUAACGCAUUAAGUACCCCGCCUGGGGAGUACGGCCGCGAGGCUAAAACUCAAAGAAAUUGACGGGGGCCCGCACAAGCGGCGGAGCAUGUGGAUUAAUUCGAUGCAACGCGAAGAACCUUACCUGGGUUUGACAUGCACAGGACGCCGGCAGAGAUGUCGGUUCCCUUGUGGCCUGUGUGCAGGUGGUGCAUGGCUGUCGUCAGCUCGUGUCGUGAGAUGUUGGGUUAAGUCCCGCAACGAGCGCAACCCUUGUCUCAUGUUGCCAGCGGGUAAUGCCGGGGACUCGUGAGAGACUGCCGGGGUCAACUCGGAGGAAGGUGGGGAUGACGUCAAGUCAUCAUGCCCCUUAUGUCCAGGGCUUCACACAUGCUACAAUGGCCGGUACAAAGGGCUGCGAUGCCGCGAGGUUAAGCGAAUCCUUUUAAAGCCGGUCUCAGUUCGGAUCGGGGUCUGCAACUCGACCCCGUGAAGUCGGAGUCGCU